AUUGAACGCUGGCGGCAGGCCUAACACAUGCAAGUCGAACGGUAACAGGAAGCAGCUUGCUGCUUUGCUGACGAGUGGCGGACGGGUGAGUAAUGUCUGGGAAACUGCCCGAUGGAGGGGGAUAACUACUGGAAACGGUAGCUAAUACCGCAUAACGUCGCAAGACCAAAGAGGGGGACCUUAGGGCCUCUUGCCAUCGGAUGUGCCCAGAUGGGAUUAGCUAGUAGGUGGGGUAACGGCUCACCUAGGCGACGAUCCCUAGCUGGUCUGAGAGGAUGACCAGCCACACUGGAACUGAGACACGGUCCAGACUCCUACGGGAGGCAGCAGUGGGGAAUAUUGCACAAUGGGCGCAAGCCUGAUGCAGCCAUGCCGCGUGUAUGAAGAAGGCCUUCGGGUUGUAAAGUACUUUCAGCGGGGAGGAAGGGAGUAAAGUUAAUACCUUUGCUCAUUGACGUUACCCGCGGAAGAAGCACCGGCUAACUCCGUG
rnacentral:rRNA from 1 species